UUGGCCUUGACAUACUAAGAACUUUCCAGAGAUGGAUUGGUGCCUUCGGGAACUUAGAUACAGGUGCUGCAUGGCUGUCGUCAGCUCGUGUCGUGAGAUGUUGGGUUAAGUCCGCAACGAGCGCAACCCUUUUCCUUAUUUGCCAGCGGGUCAUGCCGGGAACUUUAAGGAUACUGCCAGUGACAAACUGGAGGAAGGCGGGGACGACGUCAAGUCAUCAUGGCCCUUACGGCCAGGGCUACACACGUGCUACAAUGGUCGGUACAAAGGGUUGCUACCUCGCGAGAGGAUGCUAAUCUCAAAAAGCCGAUCGUAGUCCGGAUCGCAGUUUGCAACUCGACUGCGUGAAGUCGGAAUCGCUAGUAAUCGCGGAUCAGAAUGCCGCGGUGAAUACGUUCCCGGGCCUUGUACACACCGCCCGUCACACCAUGGGAGUUUGUUGCACCAGAAGUAGGUAGUCUAACCGCAAGGAGGACGCUUACCACGGUGUGGCCGAUGACUGGGGUGAAGUCGUAACAAGGUAGGCGUAGAUGA
rnacentral:rRNA from 1 species